GGUGUUUGGUACAUUCUUUCUUUGGGUAUGAAAGAAAUAAAUAGCACCUAGAGGGGUUCAGUGGGAGAACUAGACUCCUAUACCUUUUAAAGAAUAAAAGGUGGGGAGCCUCUAACAUCUGGAGAUUCCAGCAGAGCCCACAUGCUAGACCUUGAGAAAGAUAAUUUCCUACAGCCUAUUCUCCAGCCUUGAUUCCAUCCCAGCUCAGGGAUGCCUAGGAUUCUCCUAAGCGAAGGAUUUGACAACUCAUCCCCCUCAGACAGAAACCAGCUCCUUCUGUGAAGCCUCUCUUCUGGUCCCUGCAUCUCGUUUCUAUUUUUCUGCCUGGGUGUAUACAGGGUCUUAGGCUAAUGGAACCUGUUUUAGAGGACUUUUUUUGAACAUCCUCUUAACCUUUAACCAGUUCUCAAGCAAAGUGACAGAAGCUUUGGGCUUAAGCAGUAAACCUAUAAUCAGAAGCCUCAGAAAUUCACAUCUCUCAGUUCUGAGAGUUUCACUGUUCGUUGUUUAGACUAGGGCAGAACAUAACCAGCAUCCAGACAUGUGUAACCCAUAGGCCCACAUGUGAUCAUCUCUCCCAUCUGUGAGAUGAGAAACUUGUGGACCAGAGCCAAGGCCAGGAGAGGCUCCAGGGCUGGCAGUUAAACAGAGCCACAGGCAGGCCCCCAGUGGCUAGCAGAGGCUUGAUGCACACUCGUGAACUCAGAGGAUGCAGAUUUGCUACCUAUGGCAUGAGGUUCAUGUGUGGGAUGAAUCCAUCAACAGAAGGAAGAGAACAGCCUCCUUGCCUUGCCAGAUAAGGAUUACAAAAAAUUUUUUAAAUCUUGCCUCAAUCGGAAUCCCUGGGUGGCGCAGCGGUUUGGCGCCUGUCUUUGGCGCAGGGCACGAUCCUGGAGACCCGGGAUCGAAUCCCACAUCAGGCUCCCGGUGCAUGGAGCCUGCUUCUCCCUCUGCUUGUGUCUCUGCCUCUCUCUCUCUCUCUCUGUGUGACUAUCAUAAAUAAAUAAAAAUAAAAAAAAAAUUAAAUCUUGCCUCA
rnacentral:lncRNA from 12 species